UGGUACAUGUGGGCAGGGUACAUCCUGCAGGAAGAGAGACCAGGAAGGGUCGUGACUGCUUGCGCACGGCUGCAGGCGUUCUGCCGGGCAAGAACCUCCCGGUGCGCCCGGAGCUGCUCCAAGUUGAGAGUGGCGCAUAACAUGGGGCUGGAGUUGAGGCUUGAAGGGCCAAGGAGUGCCAACUUACCCUGGGUUGUAGAAAAGGAAGAAGAAUCAGCAGAGACCAUUUGUGGCUAGCAAAGCUUAAAAUAUUUCCUAACCGAUCCUUUGCAAAAAAAGUUUGCCCACUCCUGUAGUCAGCAGCUCCCCUAGUGUGCGCAGUCAGUGUGCCAUCUCAGACUAGCAAAGUUGUCCAGAGAGGAAACACAGGCCAAAAUAGUUCAGUAUGCUGUCUUACUGGGAGGACAACAGCUUAAGCCACAAAGCCCUGAGUUUGACCCUAGAACUCUGUGGCUACUGAUGACUCAUCUUGAAAAUUAUCAGAUUGAAUCUUCUCUACUGGUUUGAUAACAACUGAUGAGUGGAAAAAGAACGCCAAUCAAAUGUGCAUGCUUAAUAAGCAGCCUCCUUAUUCCCCUCUGCAGAUUUGUGCUUGGAUCAUCUACACUUCCCUGUAUGUUGAAGAAGAUAUGCUAUCCAUGCCAUCCUUGUGGACUGCUUGAUUAAAAAGUGGAUAAACUGUCUUCAGGCCCUUGGAGUAUGGUGCCUGUGUGAAGAAGGGAAUGAGGCAGAAGUAGCAGUCAGUGGUGGCUGAAGUAGGAGAAAGUGCUUGCUAAUGAAAUCUUGAUUUUUCUGUGGCUUUUCGGUGCAAUUGGGUGGCUAAGUAGGAAAGCCAUUGGAACUUCACUGUAUCAAUUCUGCCUUUCUUGUUUUUUGGAACUCCAAUUCACCAAGGCUCCCUGCCACCCUAUCCAUCUAUAACUUUUCAUCACUUUUUCCUCAAAGUAAGAAGUGUGUCCCAGAAAAUGUGCCUUUGUGACUCAGCAACAUUUCAAAUCCAUCUGAGCCUUCCCAGCGUUCCAAAAGAAAUACUGAUUUGAAUUCAGCUGCUUAAAAAACCAGUCUCUAAGCAGGCAGCUUGAAACUUCCUUACAGCAAUAGUUUAGGCUUUGGAGGGGAAAUUGGUUUGUUUUUAAUUGUUUUAAUUUUUCAGUUAAUUCAUUUGCCGCCUGAUUAUAUAUGAUCUUUUGAGCCCAAUACUCUGCUAAAUUAACCUUGACUUUCUUUCUCUCUUUCUCUCUCUCUCCUUCUCCCUUUCUUCCUUCCUUUCUUUUUGUCAGAGCCUUGCUCUGUCGCCCAGGCUGGAGUGCAGUGGCACAAUCUCAGCUCACUGCAAACUCCGCCUCCAAAGCUCAAGCAAUUCUCCUGCUUCAGCCUCCUGUGUAGCUGGGAUUACACGCGCCCGCCACCAUGCCUGGCUAAUUUUUGUAUUUUUAGUAAAGAUGGAGUUUCGCCUUCUCGGCCAAGCUGGUCUCGAACUCCUGACCUCAACCUUGGCCUCUCAAAGUGCUGAGAUUACAAGCUUGAGCCACCAUGCCUGGCCUUACCUUGAUUUUUUUUUUUUUUUUUUUUGAGACAGAGUCUCACUCUGUUGCUCAGGUUGGAGUGUAGUGGCUCGAUCUUGGCUCACUGCAACCUCCAUCUCCCGGGUUCAAGAGAUUCUCCUACCUCAGCCUCCCAAGUAGCUGGGACUACAGGUGUGGGCCACCACGCCUAGCUAAUUUUUUAUAUGUUUACUAGAGACGGGGUUUCACCAUGUUGGGCAGGCUGGUCUUGAACUCCUGACCUCAGGUGAUUCACCUGCCUCGGCCUCCCAAAAUGCUGGGAUUACAGGUGUGAGCCACCACACCCGGCCCCUACCUUUGAUUUUUAAGUCAAGAGGGAACAAGUCGAAAUUUCUAUUUGGUUAAACUAUAUACCUUUGGACAUUGAAUCACUUUUAGAACCCCAGUAAAAAUCAUGUAUGAAUGACCCACAAUUUCACUCCAACAGGAAGGUGUGUAUAUGUGCACAAAAACAUUAGAUUGUUCAUACCAGUGCUAUUCAUAAUAGUCAAAAACUGGAAACAACUCAAACAUCCAUCAACUGUAGAAUGGAUAAAUAAAUCAUGAUAUAUUCAUACCAUGGAACAUAACAGUGACAAUAAAUGAACCACUGCUACACACAACAGAUAUGAAUUUCACAAACAGAAUGCUGAGCAACAGAAGCCAAACACAGAAGGAUACACAUUUAUGAAUCCAUUUGUAUGAAGUUCAUAAACAGACAAAAUUAGUCAGUGGAGAUUAUUCUCAUAGAAGUCUGAAGGGUAGUUGUCUUUAGGGAGGGGGAUAUAGUGACUGAAGUGGGUAUGAGGGGUUUCUGGGGUUUGAUGAUGGUACACCAGCAUAUUCACUCCGAAAAUUCAUUGAGCUGUGCAAUAAUGAUUUUUCAAACUUUUAUAUGUGUAUGAUAUGCUUCAAUAAAGCUUUGCUUAAAAAC